AGAUUGAACGCUGGCGGCAUGCCUAACACAUGCAAGUCGAACGGGAGUAGCAAUACUCUAGUGGCGGACGGGUGAGGAAUACGUAGGAAUUUGCCCUUAAGUGGGGGAUAACCCGGGGAAACCCGGAUUAAUACCGCAUGACCUCGAAAGAGCAAAGUGGGGGAUCGCAAGACCUCACGCUUUUGGAGAAGCCUACGUCGGAUUAGCUAGUUGGUGAGGUAAUGGCUCACCAAGGCGACGAUCCGUAACUGGUCUGAGAGGAUGAUCAGUCACACCGGAACUGAGACACGGUCCGGACUCCGUACGGGAGGCAGCAGGUGGGGAAUAGUUGGACAAGUGGGACGCAAGCCUGACUCCAGCAAGUGACCGCGUGUGUAGAAGAACGGUCCGUUACGGGUUAGUAAAG
rnacentral:rRNA from 1 species